UUGUACAUUUGAGGACUUGUCUUUGUUCAUCGGUGUAGCUAAAAUAGAAUAAUAUAAAUAGUAUCCAUGCUUACCUUGUACAUUUGAGGACUUGUCUUUGUUCAUGAAGUCUAUGCCACCAUAUUUUAUUGCUAUAUUGCGUGUAGAGUAAGAAACAGUGUUCAUUCUUAUUCUAUUGGGUGCUAAAAUUUCUGUUACUUCAUUUCACUAACAUACCUUCUUCAUUUUAGUGCACUGCUAAGGUCUACCAUUAGAAAGAUGGAUGCCUCACGGCUCAUCAGAUUGCUAACUUACACCAAAUAUGCAGUAUAUGGACAUCUCCUUCCAAAAUUUGAUGGUGAAUCGUGUAAAGUGCCCGAAACAAAUGUUUGUAAGUUACCUUGUAAUUUCUUAAGUCUACCUGAAAGAUUGCCUCGAUUGUCAAGGCCUUGCAGAAUGAGUUUUGCAUUUUAUCUUUCUUCUUUUUGUGCUUCAAGAUUUUGCUGUGAAAGCUGUUUUCAAAUGUGAGUUUAAUCAUUUUGAUAUAUUGGAUAAACAGCUUCUUGCUAGUACUGUUGUAGUGAGUGCUUGACCUCUUCACUGUGUAAAUGCAGUUGGCUUUAUUGGAUGAUAAAAUUGAUGACUUAUCCUUUAUGCCAAUGAUCCAUUUUUCUGAAUGGCGGGAUGAGUUUUUAUGCCGUCUGUUUUCUUUACUUCUACACUUAGAACCCAACAGUGUUUUGCCUUGAAGAAAAUUUCCAAGUUUGUAAGGGCAGAUAUUCUUCCUGGUGCUAUUGCAGAGAUUGGCCUGCUCUAUUGUGGGUGUGUUCACUUAACCCGGAAGAAGGAGUCAGUCAACUUGUUAAGCCAAUAUUAGUGUCUGUGAUAUCCUCUUUGAAAGGAACACCCGACACUGGAUUUGGAGGCUGUUUUGGGGAUUACCUGGAUGCCUUGUUUCUUGUUAUGCUCGUGGCUACCGCAGGACCUUAAGAUCAAAGCAUAAUUUUCUGGUAAUAUAUUACAUCCGUG